rnacentral:rRNA from 1 species
AUUGAACGCUGGCGGCAUGCCUUACACAUGCAAGUCGAACGGUAACAGGUCUUCGGAUGCUGACGAGUGGCGAACGGGUGAGUAAUACAUCGGAACGUGCCUAGUAGUGGGGGAUAACUACUCGAAAGAGUGGCUAAUACCGCAUGAGAUCUACGGAUGAAAGCAGGGGAUCGCAAGACCUUGUGCUACUAGAGCGGCCGAUGGCAGAUUAGGUAGUUGGUGGGAUAAAAGCUUACCAAGCCGACGAUCUGUAGCUGGACUGAGAGGACGAUCAGGCACACUGGGACUGAGAAAGGCCACAGACUGCGACGGGAGGGAGCAGUAGGGAAUUUUGGACCAUGGGGGCAAGCCUGAUCCAGCAAUGCCGCGUGAAGGAUGAAGGACUUCGGGUUGUAAACUGCUUUUGUACGGAACGAAAAGCCCUGGGUUAAUACCCUGGGGUCAUGACGGUACCGUAAGAAUAAGCACCGGCUAACUACGUGCCAGCCGCCGCGGUAAGAC